CUGCAAAGUCAGCCAACCUCUUGCUUCCAAAUGACCCUUAUCCAGAAGUAUCCGUGAAUGCCUCAUGAGAAGAAACUAAAGUGGAGACCUACCUCUCAGAGAAGAACGCACACAUAAGAAAAGCGACCCACUUCAGUACUGGAAAGAACAUCCUAAUCUGUCUCCCUCUAUGGCUGCUGUUGCGAUCCCAGUGUGCCCCCUGUAGCUCUGUGGACAGUUUUUGAUUUGAUUACAUCUCACCCCAACCGGUCGCGGCAGAUGGCUGCCCCUCCCUGAGCCUGGUUCUGCCAGAAGUUUCUUCAUGUCAAAAGUGAGUUUUUCUGAGCACACUCUACCAGCAACACUGACAGCUCACCAGUGGGAGCUCAUAGAUAAGACUGCUGAUGUGCUGUCAUCCAUUGAAGAGCUGACCAGAAACGUGAACAGAAAGACUGCAACUGCACCUGAUGGGAUCCCUGCCAUAACAGAUGUGUUCUGUCCAGUGAAGGCAGUGGAGAAGCCCUACACUGAUGUUGAAACUGUGCCACUCUUCUAGAAACCAGCUACAAGGAUGGGCAGCUGUUUUUGCAAAGUCAGCCAACCUCUUGCUUCCAAAUGACCCUUAUCCAGAAGUAUCCGUGAAUGCCUCAUGAGAAGAAACUAAAGUGGAGACCUACCUCUGAGAGAAGAACGCACACAUAAGAAAAGCGACCCACUUCAGUACUGGAAAGAACAUCCUAAUCUGUCUCCCUCUAUGGCUGCUGUUGCGAUCCCAGUGUGCCCCCUGUAGCUCUGUGGACAGUUUUUGA